GACGAACGCUGGCGGCGUGCUUAACACAUGCAAGUCGAACGCUGAAGACCUGGCUUUUGUUGGGUUGGAUGAGUGGCGAACGGGUGAGUAACACGUGAGUAACCUGCCCUCUUCUUUGGGAUAACGCCCGGAAACGGGUGCUAAUACUGGAUAUUCACUGAUCUUCGCAUGGGGGUUGGUGGAAAGGUUUGUUCUGGUGGGGGAUGGGCUCGCGGCCUAUCAGCUUGUUGGUGGGGUGAUGGCCUACCAAGGCUUUGACGGGUAGCCGGCCUGAGAGGGUGACCGGUCACAUUGGGACUGAGAUACGGCCCAGACUCCUACAGGAGGCAGCAGUGGGGAAUAUUGCACAAUGGGCGAAAGCCUGAUGCAGCGACGCCGCGUGAGGGAUGGAGGCCUUCGGGUUGUAAACCUCUUUCGCUCAUGGUCAAGCCGCAACUGUGGGUUGUGGUGAGGGUAGUGGGUAAAGAAGCGCCGGCUAACUACGUG
rnacentral:rRNA from 1 species